GAUGAAGAACGCAGCGAAAUGCGAUAAGUAAUGUGAAUUGCAGAAUUCAGUGAAUCAUCGAAUCUUUGAACGCUCAUUGCGUCCGGUAGUAUUCUGCCGGGCAUGCCUGUUCGAGCGUCAUUUCAACCAUCAAGCCCCAGCGCUUGUGUUGGGGGCCUGCGGCUGCCGCAGCCCCCUAAAAGCAGUGGCGGGCUCGCUAUCACACCGAGUGCAGUAGUUCAUCUUCUCUCCGGUCUUGUGAGGCGGGUUCCGGCCGUGAAACACCCCACUACAUUUCAAGGUUGACCUCGGAUCAGGUAGGAAUACCCGCUGAACUUAAGCAUAUCAAUAAGCGGAGGA
rnacentral:misc_RNA from 1 species